rnacentral:rRNA from 1 species
GCGUGGAGACAGGUGGUGCAUGGCUGUCGUCAGCUCGUGUCGUGAGAUGUUGGGUUAAGUCCCGCAACGAGCGCAACCCUCACCUCUUGUUGCCAUCAGGUCAUGCUGGGCACUCUAGAGGAACUGCCCCGGUCAACGGGGAGGAAGGCGGGGAUGACGUCAAGUCAUCAUGCCCCUUACGUCCUGGGCUACACACGUGCUACAAUGGCCGGUACAAAGGGAUGCCACACCGCGAGGUAGAGCUAAACCCAAAAAGCCGGUCUAAGUUCAGAUUGGAGUCUGCAACUCGACUCCAUGAAGGAGGAAUCGCUAGUAAUCGCGUAUCAGCACGACGCGGUGAAUACGUUCCCGGGCCUUGUACACACCGCCCGUCACACCACGAAUGCCCGCUGUACUCGAAGUCGCUGAG